UUUACUAUUCUAGUUGUCACAAUAAGUUAUCAAAUAAUAUAUUUUAUAUUAUGUAUAGUAGUAAAAUAAAUAAUCUUAGAAAGUUGAAACUAUCUGUUUUCAAUAUUAUACUUAUAAUAAGUCAAUUUUAACUCGCGCAAAUUCGGUGGACAGGCACGACGUGGCCACUGUGAAGACAACCGUCAGUCGUCAAAGCACAACGCCAUAACGCCAUGACGAUGGCGCACCGGUUCCGGAAUUUUCGUUUUCAUCCACCUAAAACUUUCAACUUAAACCUACCUUAUACCGUGGCUAAAUAGACUAUUUAGCCGUGCUUAAUAUGUCAUACGAUAUUAAUACACAGUGUGGUAAUAACCGAUCAAUAGUGGAAUGUUAUUUGUAUACAAAUAUAUGUUUUAUUCAUAUAAUAUUUGUUAUAUAAAUGCGUGCAUCAACAUGAAUAGCUCAGUAAAUGAAUUUGAUGAAAAGAAAGUGAAAUAUUUCAGAUUUAACAAGUAAUAAUUAUUCAUCUCAAAACAAAACAACUACAUCUCUUCCGAGAAGAUUUCCAGAAUUUCAUUACAAUUAACAGUCGACGAAUUUGCUUCUAGAAUGGAAUUUAGAAUCCGUAUACACAUCUUAUAUAGAUAUACUGUUAUACUAAUUUACACUGAACAAGGAACCUGUAAUAUUGAACAAGUUCCUAUUAUUCAAAACAUUGCUGGUCAAAAAGAUGGCAUAUCAAAAAACACAGUAUUUCUAUAAUCCUAAUGAGGUUGAUAUUGAUAUCCAAAGUAAAUAUACGGGCAAUUCAAAUUUAAAUACAAUUUUUGAAAAAUCAUUCAAUAUUACGCUUUACGAUUUGUCGCCAGAUUCAAAAAUAUUGGUUAUAAUAUAUUUUUUACAUAGUGUAUUCAUUCCUUUGUCAAAAAAUCCACUCAUGAUGAAUAUUGAAUAUGGUAGAAAAGGUUUUACCAAAUACACUGUGCAAGAAUUAAUUAAUCAUGAAUUUUUUAUUGUGACACUAACUUCUGUGAACAUUGAAUCUAUACAAUAAGGUAUAUAUUGACUUUAACAGAAUAUACUAUAAAAAUUGAAGAAGUGUUUGUAUAACGCAUUAAAUAUUGAAUGAACGGAUAAAUAAUAAUGCCAACACACGAGAUUUAACCAAUAAUUCAAAAUAUUUGAUAGUUAUGUACUCGUUACAUAGUCUGCUAAUUCCUUGAUCAAGAAAAUUAACAUGAGAAGAGAAUUGAAAAAAAUACUAUGUACAAUAUGGAAUCAAUGAUUCCUAAAAUUCAACCAUAAAAUCUAAUAAAAAAACUAUUGGAUAGAGAAGCACUUUUAAAAUAGACGGCACAGUCUCUCUCUCAUCCAUAUUCUAGACCACGUCCCCUUAUUUUGUUAAAAAAGAAAUGGCUUAUCCAUUCUUAUAUUAUCUAUAGUCCUAUCCAGCCAAAUAUAUUGAUUGUUGGUUGUUGGUACUUUAUUUUAUGCGAAACAAGUUUUGAUAUAUUUUAUUGAAGUCAAUUAUUAUAUGACUUACAAUUUAAAAAAUACUUUACGUAUUUUUGGAAAUGUUCCAUAUUUUUAAUGUCGAAUAUUUGCUCGAAUCUGAGAGUAUGUGCGGAUUAUGUUACAAACAUUGUUUUUAAUAUUCAUACAAUGAAUGACAAGUCAUAUACCUACCUUCACUAAACAAAUUUCUUCAGAAAUUAGGGGCUAAGGUAUAAUAGAUUUGUUUUUAUUUAACUAUUUGUUUUCAUUAUACCUACUUACUUUCUAUAAUAGUAUAAUAUUUACUUUUUUUUAAUAACUAUUCAUGUUUAUAUAAUACUUUACUUUGUUCUAUAAUGUAGUUACAAAUAUUUUAUAGUUAGGUAUUAACUAUUUUUAUUUAGUUCCAACCUAAUUGUAUUUUUAACAUAGGUACCUAUACUUAUUUUUUUCUAAUUGUUAAACGUAUUAUUAUACAUUAUACAUGUAUAAUAGCAAUAGAUAUUCUAAUUUGAAUAUAAUUAUUUUUACUAUUAAAAAUUCCCCUCCACCCACAGAUUUAUAUCUGUAACACAGCUAUGCAUCUAAUAUAUUAUAUUAUAAUAUAACAAUUACUUACCUACAAAUUUUUAUUUCUAAAAAUUCUGUAUUUUUAACUUUACUCUAUUAAUAUAUUAUUUAAAAAAAAUUGUAUACCUAUUAUGAUAAAAAUAUUUUUAUAGUUAAAUCUGAUAUUGUAAAUUUUUAAUAA